rnacentral:lncRNA from 1 species
AAUGAAUCUUAAUUUGCCACCAAAAUAAUUAACUUCAACUAGAAGCAAUAUCCACAGUGCCUGAUAUCAAGUUAAACUUUCAAAAUAAUUAUAUUGCACGAUAAUAUCUCAUGAUUAAUAUUCCUUCACUUAAUUUAGUCUAAAUCUAAUUAAUCAUAACUUGAAAUACAAAUUGCUCUACCAAGAAAACUCUCAGAGUAGCUCAUUCACACUUCGGUUACAACCAUAAUUAGGUUGCAUUCUAAUUUUAGCAUUUCAAAAUUAUGAUAAAAUAACUCAAAUUUAUCAAUAACAAAAGCAAAUAAAUGCCUUCAUCUAAUGGCCUAAUGUCUACCCAUCUCUCAAACUUUCUGACGAAUCCUAAAGAUCCUAAAACUUAAGCUCCAUCUGACUAUUUCAAA